UGGAAUCAAGCUGCUUGUGGAUUUACACUGACUGACUUGGUUGAUGGAGAGGGUAUUCACAGGCUUGAUCUGUAUGGUCCGCAGGCGAAAGCGCCGACUGUUGGUCCUCUUCAACUGCAACAAGAAGCAACAAUAUGAGGGAGCGAACUUAUCAGAAGACACGCAAAAAUCCACACAUCAGUGACAGCAAAAGGAACGCCACACCACAAUUUGAGCUUGUUUCUCCUUCCUCUACACUGCCUAAGACAACCUGCACGGAUACAUGGAACUUUUUGGAGCCGUGAGUCCCACACAUGCUCAUUAGUACCUUAUUUCAACCCCUUGCUUACAAUAAAGGUCAUGCAUUGAGCUUAAGGCAGGACAGUGACAGCAAUGUUCAAACAGGGACCUUGCUGGUCCUGGCAUCUGUCGCCUGCAAUCGGAGGGCGCGAGCAGAGUCACAGGACUAACAGGCUAGCAUCUGUCCCACAACGAGAGAAGAAGAAGGGGCGGGGGGCACUCGGCUGCCUGGUGGUUAGGAACUGUCAGGCUGAGUUUCAUGACAACCGGUAGCACUCCAAAAAUGAAAAUGCAAACAUAAUUUCCAUGUCAGGCCGUAUAAGGCCUCACUCCGUGCGUCUCCCGCACUGUGUCGACAGCAACUCCGGAGCUCUGCUCGAGCUUAGCUAGCCAGGCGAUGCUCAGAGCACACAACCCUGCAAGACAUGUUGAGGGGUAGAAACGCCCAGGGAUGUUCAGCUAAACACAGAAUGGUCUUUGAUCAAGAGACGUUCGCUAAAAUUGUAUGACAGUCUACAACAUAUUCCAGCAAAUUGUAUCAACGCUUUACAAACUCAGACACAUUAUUCGUGCCUUCUGCAAUACAUCAGUACAAUUUAACAUGCCCUCUGGCUUUAAAGGGGAAUCACACUUGAAUUGAGAAUUCAUAUGCAGCUCUAUUCGGUUCAUGUCAAUUCAAACAAGUCCGAUAUGAUCCAGAACUGUCCUAUUGUAUUACUUACUGUAUGUUCCUCUUAUCGUACUGUUGUACUCUACUGUAUUAUUGUGCUAUAAAAACUCUCAAAGCCAGAAACUACAAUCCAGCAAUGAAUGGGACACUGGUUUAUGUAUUGAAUGUGAUUUGGAGAAUUUACCGACAG